rnacentral:rRNA from 1 species
GACGCAACGCGAAGAACCUUACCAAGGCUUGACAUACACCGGAAACGUCCAGAGAUGGGCGCCCCCUUGUGGUCGGUGUACAGGUGGUGCAUGGCUGUCGUCAGCUCGUGUCGUGAGAUGUUGGGUUAAGUCCCGCAACGAGCGCAACCCUUGUCCCGUGUUGCCAGCAGGCCCUUGUGGUGCUGGGGACUCACGGGAGACCGCCGGGGUCAACUCGGAGGAAGGUGGGGACGACGUCAAGUCAUCAUGCCCCUUAUGUCUUGGGCUGCACACGUGCUACAAUGGCCGGUACAAUGAGCUGCGAUACCGUGAGGUGGAGCGAAUCUCAAAAAGCCGGU